rnacentral:misc_RNA from 1 species
GCCUAACAGUUCAGGUGCCUGACUAUCCUAGUUCUAAAACCACUCAUGGAAGACAAAGAGCUUCAACUGGAGGGCACUUACAAAAUGGUUCUAAAAGCCAUUUAGUUAUAUUGCAUCAUGUAAAGAUACAACAAAAAUUGGAAAACUUCCUGAGGGCGAUCUAUCAAAAGCUCAGCUCCUGGAAGCAAUUCUUCGUUCUCAAACACGAGUCAAGGAAGCUGAGAAGGAAUGCAAAGCAAGCCUUUGUUGAGAAGGAACACAUCAAUAAGCUUUUCCUUAGUCAAAACUCACAGCUUUUUGCCUAUAAGGAGUGGUUUGAAAUGCUACAGCUUGAAAUCCUUUACUAUCAGGUAAAAAAUGGUGAGAAGCCAAUAUCCACUCUAUUCCUUGUAGUUCUUCCACGGAUUCCUCUUAAGGGCAGGAACCUACAAAAGAGCUGGCAAAAGUUCACAAGGGGCAAGCAUGGUCGACCAAGUCAUGACAUUAGCAAGUAUGUUGUUGCAUUUGCACUAGGUUUGAGUAUUGUUGGUGCUAGCUUGCUACUAGGAUGGGUGUUGCCUUUGUAAGUUUCAAGAAAUUUCCUAUUUACGGAAGUUUAUUUAUGAAGGAAAUUGAUUGUAUUAAAUUGACUUCCAUGUGUAUUUUCUUAGAUGUGUUACUUUAUUUUGUGUGUACUCUGCAUUGUUUUUGUACCUUGUAUAUAAAUGAUCACAACAAGAAAUGUUAUACUUAGC